UUGCUCCUGAUUGAUAAACAUUUGAGUGAGUGGCGGACGGGUGAGUAACACGUGGGUAACCUGCCCUAAAGUGGGGGAUAACAUUUGGAAACAGAUGCUAAUACCGCAUAAAACCUAACACCGCAUGGUGUAGGGUUGAAAGAUGGUUUCGGCUAUCACUUUAGGAUGGACCCGCGGUGCAUUAGUUAGUUGGUGAGGUAAAGGCUCACCAAGACCGUGAUGCAUAGCCGACCUGAGAGGGUAAUCGGCCACACUGGGACUGAGACACGGCCCAGACUCCUACGGGAGGCAGCAGUAGGGAAUCUUCCACAAUGGACGAAAGUCUGAUGGAGCAACGCCGCGUGAGUGAAGAAGGUUUUCGGAUCGUAAAACUCUGUUGUUGGAGAAGAAUGUAUCUGAUAGUAACUGAUCAGGUAGUGACGGUAUCCAACCAGAAAGCCACGGCUAACUACGUGCCAGCAGCCGCGGUAAUACG
rnacentral:rRNA from 2 species